rnacentral:lncRNA from 1 species
CUGGAAUGACAGGUGUGAGCCACUGCACCCAAUCAGAAUUCUUUUUUAUUUUGAUAGCUUUGACUGCUUUGAUAGUUCUCCAUCAAGGAAACUGUUCAAAAUGAAAAACAGAACAUGUCUUAUAGGAGGACUCUCUAAGUCCAAUAUUAGUGAAGACGAUAAGGACAAUUUCUUCCUAGAAAUAAUAUAUUUCUAUCUUCAGCACAAGAGGAAUUAAUUCCACAGCACUAAUAGAAACUGUUAAUAGUGUAAAUUACAAACAAUACAACAAAAAUGAAAGCAAAACACACUCCACAGAAGUAUGUCAGAAAUAAAAAAAAGAAAUUCCUUAAACCCUCAAGCCAGCAUGCUUGAUACAAAUUUAUACUUUUUUUUUUUUUUUUGAGAUGGAGUUUUGCUCUUGUUGCCCAGGCUAGAGAGCAAUGGUGCAAUCUCGGCUGACUGCAACCUCCGUCUCCGGGGUUCAAGCAAUUCUUCUGCUUCAGCCUCCUGAACAGCUGGGAUUACAGGCGUGCGCCAUCAUGCCCAGCUAAUUUUGUAUUUUUAGUAGAGAUGGGUUUAUACAUUUUUAAAGAAUGGACAAUGAUGCAGAUGAUUUGUGAGCAUUUUGAUGAGAAAGUGGUGAUUAGAAGGAUACAGCAUAAAUUUAAUUGUAAACAUGCUUAUCUAGCUAACCUAAUCUGUUUCUGUAGAAUUACUGGCAUGGGAGAUUGGAUAGAUGCCUAACCUAUCUCAAUUUUAAGUAAUGUGAGCAAGUCUUUAAGGUAUACAUAAUGAUAAAAUGGAGAAACAUGACCAGAUGAUGAUGGUCAUGUAGGUAAUUAGAUGGAUUUGUAGGUGGUUGAAAUUGUAUCUAAGCAUAGCAAUCUGGCCUCUGUCUACUCUCCAACAGAAUCAAUAAUCAUUCCACAUCCCUCUGCUCCAACCAUACUGAAUUAUUUGCAGUUCUCUAAAAACAUCAUAUUCUUAAACCCCAGGGCUUUUGCACAUACUAUUCCUUUGCCUGAAGCAAUGUUUUCUUGCUCCUUUACCUCAUUCUUACUCAUUCUUUGGAUAUCAGCUUAAAUUUCGUAAGUUGAAAAUGCACUUAAUACACCUACCCUACUGAACAUUAGAGCUUAGUCUAACCUACCUUCAACAUGUUCAGAACACUUACAUUAGCCUACAGUUAGUUGGGCAAAAUUAUAUAACACAAAGCCUAUAAUAAAGAAUAAGAUAUUGAAUAUCUUAUAUUCAAUAUGUAAUUUCUUGAAUAUUAUACUGAAAGUGAAAAGCAAUGGUUUUGCACCAUCAUGAAGUAAAAAAUUCAUGUCAUGCACUUUCUAUAGUACUCAAGAGAACUUGGCAGCACCAUUUGUCACACAGAGUUCACCCUAAAUUCACCUGGUAAUUUUGGUGACCCUCUGCUAGUUAGUUGCUUUUGUCCAAGGGAAAAAUAAAUUUCUUGUAUCUUUAUGACAGAAGAUAGCUUUGUAAUGGAGCAAGGUGCCUAAUAAAGUUAGGCUCUUAUGUUUCCAGGAAGCUGAAAGAUAGGGGUACUAUUUUUCUCAAUGAUUAAAUUUCAGUGAGAUAGCUCCCAGGUCCUUGAGGAAUUCACAUUCUUAGGUUGUAAAAUUGGCAAAAGCCUAAUUUAGUUUUUGGAAAGAUUUACAGGCAUUUCAAAGAGGCACAGAAAAAGCUUACAAUUAAGUUUCCUAAAGUAAAUGACCAAAGAAAAGGAUGUGGAGGGUAAAAGUCUCUCUCUCUCCUUUGCACCAGGCAGAAUUAAAUAGUUUUAUUUCUAAUUUGUACUCACCCUUACACCAACAGUGUGAGCAUCGCCUAGGAAUUUUUGUUAGAGAUGCAAAUCCUCAGAUCCCAAUGCAGACUUACUUGAUAAGAAACUCUGGG